GACGAACGCUGGCGGCGUGCUUAACACAUGCAAGUCGAACGCUGAAGCUCAGCUUGCUGGGUGGAUGAGUGGCGAACGGGUGAGUAACACGUGAGUAACCUGCCCUCUUCUUUGGGAUAACGCCCGGAAACGGGUGCUAAUACUGGAUAUUCACUGAUUCUCGCAUGGGGGUUGGUGGAAAGGUUUUUUCUGGUGGGGGAUGGGCUCGCGGCCUAUCAGCUUGUUGGUGGGGUGAUGGCCUACCAAGGCUUUGACGGGUAGCCGGCCUGAGAGGGUGACCGGUCACAUUGGGACUGAGAUACGGCCCAGACUCCGACGGGAGGCAGCAGUGGGGAAUAUAGCACAAUGGGCGAAAGCCUGAUGCAGCGACGCCGCGUGAGGGAUGGAGGCCUUCGGGUUGUAAACCUCUUUCGCUCAUGGUCAAGCCGCAGCUUUGGGUUGUGGUGAGGGUAGUGGGUAAAGAAGCGCCGGCUAACUACGUG
rnacentral:rRNA from 1 species